ACGCUCGAGAAUAUGGAUCUCCGACCACUGACCAAACUCCAAGUAACAAGCUAUUUAUCCUUUUUUGAAGUUUGUACCUUUCUUAGUUUGGUAACUGCAUGUGUCAGGAAUACAUCCAUUUCUAGCUAUGGCUGAUCACCGGGAAUACCGUCUUUAGUCUAGGACCACGGAGUCAAUUCAUUUCAUGGAAACAAUAGGGCCAGCAGGAGCCAUAUCCACUCCAUCCCCGUGAUAAAACAUGCCAUCGCCCAGAAGAAUCCUUCAAAAAUGGAUGAGUAUAUAGGUGACGCAAGGAUACUGAGACCACCUGGGAACCCACCUUUACUGCUCCUCUCACCUGUUCUAGAAUGGUUUAAGGUUCAAGACUUACACUAUGACCGAUCGGCACCCUAGAUGGGGUAUCCCUAAUCAUUUUUCAGGUAGCCGUGAGAUGUCUUAUUUUGGACCUUCCUCCCUGAAUGGACAGGGCACUAAAUGCUGGUACCACACGGAAUAAUGGCGUUGAGCUGGACAGUGGGCCUGGAUAAGCUUUUUUCAACCUUUUCAACACUCAAGAACCCUUGAAAUAACCUUUCUGCCUGCGUACACAGGAUCGGAAAUUCCCGACAAGAAAACGACGGAAUUUUGGUUCAAACUUGUGUUGCAUACACACGGUCACACAAAUGUCGUCUGAAAU